UUAGAUCGUAGCAAGGCAAGAAACUUACAACUAAGUCUCUGGGAAUGAUUGUCUACGUACCCGCAUGAUCACUAGAAGUACAUGUCUCAGUAGCGGCACAUCAAUGCAGAAGUGUAACGUGAGUACGAAAAAUAAUUCGUAUCCAGUAAGUUUCUAGUUUAACCUCGAAGAAGUAAUGCUGAGAUGUCUAAUUGACACUUACUAGAGGUCAAAUAAUAACAAUAAGUGCAUAAAGAAGACAUGAUGAGUAUAAAACAACUAACAAUGAGGAAAUUGAGAGCAACUAAAACAAUACAAUCGGGAGCCCCUAUUACAUUCCCAACAUUUCAUAACUACAGUGAAGGCGCUAACUCAAUUAUUCCAAACUGGAAACCAUUUAGAUUAUUAAGCAUAAAGUUGUCGAGGUGAACAACCUGAUCCCAUAAGAGUGGUGUUAUCAUACAGCUGAGGUGCACGACUCAACCAUAUAACAAUAGUGUAAUCAUACUGUCGAUAUGAACGACCCAAUCCCAUAAGAGUGGUGUUAUCAUACUACUAUGGUAAAAUUUCCCGUUCUAAUAAGAGUGGUGUUAUCUUACUACCAAGGCGGUGAGAUGAGAUGACAUGGAUUUUGAUAAUUUAAGUAUUCAUAGUUUUUAAAAUAAUAAAUUGUAAUGACCCGACCAUUCAUUUUGAGAUCUAGCAUGUCAUUCGGCGGUUUGAGGCCUUCAUUAGCUUUACUUCAUGUAUCAUGACUUGUGCGCGUGGUGGGAAUUGAAUUUUGGAUAGCUCGGAGUUGAUUAGGAUGGAAAAUUCUCAAGUCAUAAGCAUUAAGUUGAAAGAGGUGACUAAGGUUUGGCAUUUCAGUAAACGAUCUUGAAAUUGGAAUUUGAAUGUUUCAGUAUGUUCGUAUGAUAAUUUAGGACUUUGGCGUAUGUCUUGAGUAUCGUGUAGCCCGGGAGCAUUUUGACGCUUAUUGUGGAAUAUUGAGAUUUUGAAAUUUUAGAAAUUCUUAAGUUUGACUUGAAGUGGACUUUGGAUUUAUCGAUGCUUUUUUGGGAUUACGAUCCUUAAAAUAGUUUGUUAUGUCAAUUGGGACUUGUCUUGAGGAUUUGGGUUCGUUCUGGAUUGAUU
rnacentral:lncRNA from 1 species